rnacentral:rRNA from 1 species
ACGCUGGCGGCAGGCCUAACACAUGCAAGUCGAGCGGUAGAGAGAAGCUUGCUUCUCUCGAGAGCGGCGGACGGGUGAGUAAUGCCUAGGAAUCUGCCUGGUAGUGGGGGAUAACGUCCGGAAACGGACGCUAAUACCGCAUACGUCCUACGGGAGAAAGCAGGGGACCUUCGGGCCUUGCGCUAUCAGAUGAGCCUAGGUCGGAUUAGCUAGUUGGUGGGGUAAUGGCUCACCAAGGCGACGAUCCGUAACUGGUCUGAGAGGAUGAUCAGUCACACUGGAACUGAGACACGGUCCAGACUCCUACGGGAGGCAGCAGUGGGGAAUAUUGGACAAUGGGCGAAAGCCUGAUCCAGCCAUGCCGCGUGUGUGAAGAAGGUCUUCGGAUUGUAAAGCACUUUAAGUUGGGAGGAAGGGCAGUUGCCUAAUACGUAACUGUUUUGACGUUACCGACAGAAUAAGCACCGGCUAACUCUGUGCCAGCAGCCGCGGUAAUACAGAGGGUGCAAGCGUUAAUCGGAAUUACUGGGCGUAAAGCGCGCGUAGGUGGUUUGUUAAGUUGGAUGUGAAAUCCCCGGGCUCAACCUGGGAACUGCAUUCAAAACUGACUGACUAGAGUAUGGUAGAGGGUGGUGGAAUUUCCUGUGUAGCGGUGAAAUGCGUAGAUAUAGGAAGGAACACCAGUGGCGAAGGCGACCACCUGGACUGAUACUGACACUGAGGUGCGAAAGCGUGGGGAGCAAAC